rnacentral:tRNA from 1 species
GGGGUUGCCGCCCGGCGGUUGUUGGGGCGGCCCUUGGGCAGGGUUGCCGUUCCGGUGUGCCGGGGAGGGUGCGGGCUUCGUGUGCCCGCGGUCACU